AUAGAACUGUUCUUCAAAACCUCGGAAUGGAGUUCGAGGUCUUGAGUUUCACAAGAAGUUUUAAAUAGAACUAUUCUUCAAACCCUCGGAAUGGAGGAAGAGGUCUCAAGCUUCCCAAGACGUUUUAAAUAGAAUUGUUCUUCAAACCCUAAGAAUGGAGGAAAGGUCUUGAGCUUUCCAAGAAGUUUUAAAUAGAACUGUUCAUCAAACCCCUUGGAAUGGAGGAAAAGGUAAGCUAUUUUAUUUACCACCUGUUUCGGGUUAAACCCUUUUUCUUUCAUAAGGUGCUCAGAAUCCACAAGUCAUGAGGGAUUAUACUCUAGUCCACUUGGAGAAGGCAAAAAUACCCAACAUAC